AAAGAAAAAAGAAGACACAAAUGAACCCAGCUACAAACCAGAAACAAACUCCCAGACAUAGUAGACAAUCUUAUGGUAACAGGGGAAAUGGGAGUGGGAAGGGA